UCGAGGGCAAAAGAAAGAUUACGACUUUGAGAUUCCAAUAGAUUGAUACAAGCUGCGAUAUAGUUUUGUCGGAAGACUCACCGUUAGAUGUCUUCUCUGUUGGUGUUGUCGGAGAUUUGAUUGAAAUCGAUUUCUCAGGCAAACAAGUUUAUUUUCUUCUCUCAGACAAAAGCUAUCGAGUUUGUUAAACGAUGUCGUUUAUUAAAAAAAAAAGAAUAUUCCCUCCGG
rnacentral:lncRNA from 1 species